GAAUAAGCAUCGGCUAACUCCGUGCCAGCAGCCGCGGUAAUACGGAGGAUGCGAGCGUUAUCCGGAUUUAUUGGGUUUAAAGGGUGCGUAGGCGGCCUGUUAAGUCAGCGGUGAAAUCUAGGAGCUUAACUCCUAAAUUGCCAUUGAUACUGGCGGGCUUGAGUGUAGAUGAGGUAGGCGGAAUGCGUGGUGUAGCGGUGGAAUGCAUAGAUAUCACGCAGAACUCCGAUUGCGAAGGCAGCUUACUAAGGUACAACUGACGCUGAAGCACGAAAGCGUGGGUAUCAAACAGGAUUAGAUACCCUGGUAGUCCACGCAGUAAACGAUGAUAACUGGGCGUAUGCGAUAUACAGUAUGCUCCUAAGCGAAAGCGUUAAGUUAUCCACCUGGGGAGUACGCCGGCAACGGUGAAACUCAAAGGAAUUGACGGGGGCCCGCACAAGCGGAGGAACAUGUGGUUUAAUUCGAUGAUACGCGAGGAACCUUACCCGGGAUUGAAAUGUAGAUGACCGCUCCUGAAAGGGAGUUUUCCUUCGGGACAUCUAUGUAGGUGCUGCAUGGUUGUCGUCAGCUCGUGCCGUGAGGUGUCGGCUUAAGUGCCAUAACGAGCGCAACCCCUGUCUACGGUUGCCAUCAGGUAAUGCUGGGAACUCCGUAGAGACUGCCGUCGUAAGGCGUGAGGAAGGUGGGGAUGACGUCAAAUCAGCACGGCCCUUACAUCCGGGGCGACACACGUGUUACAAUGGUAAGGACAAAGGGCAGCUACCUGGCGACAGGAUGCGAAUCUCUAAACCUUAUCACAGUUCGGAUCGGAGUCUGCAACUCGACUCCGUGAAGCUGGAUUCGCUAGUAAUCGCGCAUCAGCCAUGGCGCGGUGAAUACGUUCCCGGGCCUUGUACACACCGCCCGUCAAGCCAUGGGAGUCUGGAGUACCUAAAGUCCGUAACCGCAAGGGUCGGCCUAGGGUAAUACAGGUGACUGGGGCUAAGUCGUAACAAGGUAGCCGUACCGGAAGGUGCGGCUG
rnacentral:rRNA from 1 species